CGGGGGCACCCUGGUGGCGAGUGGCGAACGGGUGAGUAAUACAUCGGAACGUGUCCUGUAGUGGGGGAUAGCCCGGCGAAAGCCGGAUUAAUACCGCAUACGCUCUACGGAGGAAAGGGGGGGAUCUUAGGACCUCCCGCUACAGGGGCGGCCGAUGGCAGAUUAGCUAGUUGGUGGGGUAAAGGCCUACCAAGGCGACGAUCUGUAGCUGGUCUGAGAGGACGACCAGCCACACUGGGACUGAGACACGGCCCAGACUCCUACGGGAGGCAGCAGUGGGGAAUUUUGGACAAUGGGGGCAACCCUGAUCCAGCAAUGCCGCGUGUGUGAAGAAGGCCUUCGGGUUGUAAAGCACUUUUGUCCGGAAAGAAAACGCCGUGGUUAAUACCCGUGGCGGAUGACGGUACCGGAAGAAUAAGCACCGGCUAACUACGUGCCAGCAGCCGCGGUAAUACGUAGGGUGCAAGCGUUAAUCGGAAUUACUGGGCGUAAAGCGUGCGCAGGCGGUCCGCUAAGACAGAUGUGAAAUCCCCGGGCUUAACCUGGGAACUGCAUUUGUGACUGGCGGGCU
rnacentral:rRNA from 1 species